CAGGCACACGCCACACGGACACGGGCAUCUCCCCAAUACCUACGACCCCAACUCCCUCCAGCGCCGCCGCCACCGCCCCCCUCUUCUGCAACCACCACGCCGUCCGCGCCGCCCUAAAGCACGCUGCUCCUUUCCCUUCCCAAGCCGCCCUGGAUCUGGCGAUGGAGGUGGCCGCCGUCGUGGCCAUGGAGGUCUCGCCAGCCGCCUUCGAAGUCCUACAUCCCCGAUAUCGACGGGAUUGCAGCCGCCUGGCCAAGGUCGUCGGCCCUCGACGAGCUCCUCCAUAACUUCUGGUUCCCCACAGUGCCUACGGGCCGCCUCUCCCUCUCCAUCCUACGCUCCUCCUUCUCCACUUCAGAUUUCGGCUGAAGAUCGCCUCUCCCUAUUCCCCUUCCAGUCUGGAGCACAGGCGGAGAGCCUGGUUGUGUGCGGCGGAGAUGGCGCCCCGCCUCUGCGCCUCAUAAGGCUGGACGUAGCUCCGCCGAGGCCAUGACCUCUCCUGGUAUCGAUCUAAUACAGGUCACCAACCCAUUGGAACCUCUCCCUGUCUCUUUCUUCUCCAUCUUCCUCAUAUGGAGUACUAUCCAAUGGAACCUUAGUUUUUGUAUAGUUAGCUAGCAGAGACUCAAUAGUAGCAUUUUUUGCCUGUACAUCAUAGCCAUGCCCUGGAGAGACGCAAAUUAGUGCAGUUAACAAGAAGCAAUUGACGAAGAUCUUACGAGAUGGCUUGCAAAUCCAGAUAUCAAACAUAAUUUUGGUAAUAUAUAUUAUGUAUGCAAUAGUUUGAAGGGAUGCUUACCAGGUAUGUACCACUGAAAAUCUAGGUCCAGUAACUAUCCAGUUGCAAAUUCACUGCAAGUUUGUGUAACAAAUAUAUAUACAUCAACUAGGAUUUAGGUUUAACCGUUUAAGUCUGUGGUACAAUUGAAAGACUAGGGAGAAGAGGGUGGAUUGUACUACCUGAUCGCUUGCUGUACAUCUGAAAGAGAUUCAGUUCGUCUGAAUAUUCUGAUUUUGCGACAUGGUCGCCAGUGAAUAGCGCCUUUAGCAGUUUGGUCAACAAGUAGACCGAGCCCAACAUAAAAUGGUUUCAUUUUCAUGAGUGAAUCUUACCUUAGAUGUUUAGGAGAAGAUCAGUAUGGCACCACAUAACUAUUGGUAAAAUGAUCGUUAAUUAAUGACAUCAUUACCAUCCAGCCAUCUUGUCUUUCCAAAGAACAACAUACGAGCUUCGUUCUCUGAAGUUUAAGAAUAAUACAGCCAUCUUGCCUUUCGAAAGAAUAACAAAGAUAAAUAUAGAACCGUGUAAGUCUGAACAUACAUGUGGGUCAAAAAGAUGUGGUGUGCUCCACCGAGAUUCUCAAUCUUGUCCACCAGUAUCGGCUUAUACCUUGGACUAAAAUAUUAAGAGGUUAUCAUAACAACUAUAGCGAAUAUAAUCACUGUUUUCAGAUCAAAUAAGGAAUCGAUCUCAUGAUGGUUGAUGCUUGAUGCAGCGGAGGAUCACAGGUGUACUGCCUGCAGUUUCAAUUUAACCGGGCAGUUGCCAUCAUCGUGAGACUUGCCAACUUGAGGAACUACAACGAUUCUUUGUUCCAGCCAUAUCCAAUCCACCGGGCCGGAGCUUUCACGUCACCUACAACGCACGGUGCUCGCGGCGCGCCGUUGGCGCCAGCCUCGUUGCCGCACUCCCGGAACCCCUCAAGCAGCUCAUGCUCGUUCGGUCAUGCAGGACGGCGCUGUAGCACUAUCGUUGGAUGUGAAUCGCUUCAAAACCGGAAGCAGCGUGCGCGCUGAUGUGGCGUGUUUCCUCCUUUGCUACACUCUGAUUGACUGAUGGUUAGAUGGUUGAUGUCGCAGUCUGAUGAGGCCUAGCGGGUGUGGCUUCUGCUGAAAUUUUUUACACCAGCAGCUCCUGGAGGGGAGGCGGGACAGCCGGCAGCGGCGCCAUUCUGUUUGGGGAUGCUUGGAUCUGGUGAUGCUGGAGCAUGGGAACGGGAAACAUCACCUCAGCUAUGGAAUUUCAAAUAGACAAUUUACCUUUCUCUCUAAAGAUUUCUUACACUGCUGUCAGUAUCAUUGCUCUUGGGGUCUAGUUUUUGUCAAUAUCAAAAUCUGGGUACUUACCAGCAAACGAGUUGUUGAUCUAUUUACUUAGUCAAGUUCAUUUCUGCUAUGUUCUUCAGUCAAGCUUUAGAUUCUAGCCUUGAUUAAAUAGGAAUGAUGUUGUCCAAAACCUGCUAAUGUCAGAAAUCCUACUGCCCAGCAGGAUUUCUAGAAUUCUGGUGCAUCUAGUUUCUAUAACAUGGUUUGACAACCGCGGUGAGCACUGCUCAGUGUGGCAGCUUUUCAUUAGGAUUGGAAACAAGAUUUGAGAUAUAGGUGUAGGUCAAAUUUUGCAAAAAUUAUGUGUCUGCAGGUACAAAGUUACAUGUAGGAAAUUUUACAAUUUUCUGAGAGUAAAAAUUCAAGCAUGAAUUUGAAUAUAGUUCCAUGAUUUUUUUGCUGACAAGUUUUCUUAUAUUUACUUCUCUUUCUAUGGUAUAGGAAUUUAUAUGCCUACUUAACUGUUCAAAGAUAUCCGUUUUGUUUGUCGAUUCGAAGUUACCACAUAUAAGCUUGAGUCCAUGUGAACUGACACACAGUUUGGAACAAAAUAAAACUUAGUACUGUAGUACAGUUUGGUGGUUAAACUACUCCUUACCUCAACAUUCUAAUAAUUUGUAUAAUGAUAGUUGGCAUUGGUCAUGCAAGACCGCUUGCAUGAAAUUAGUGGCUUGCUGCUGUUGUACUCUUCAAAAAUUCUGUUGCUUCAGUUUAUUUUACAUUUUUUAAUUUACUGUUUUUUGCGAAACAAAAGUACUAGAGAAUAUUAUUCUACAUUAUUUUCAACCGCUACAUUUUAUCUGUUUGCGGUAUGACUGUAUGGUUCUCAAUCGAAGAAGAGGCCCAACAGUCUCUUUCGGGACUUUUUAUCACCACAUAUAUAAUCUUAUUGAACUAGGAGUCGAGAACUACAAUUCCCCAAAAGAUCAUAAAUGCUUGAUGUGUGUGAACAUAUUGCAGGGAGGCGGUUCCAAUGAUGGCUCGGUUCCUGCACAGCUUCACCGAGAGGCAUAUGUUGUAUGAGAUGUUGUAUUCUCACUUCUCAGACUGUCUGUAUUCUGAUUUGCUCGCUAGGUGCUUGAUAAAAUGCCCAUCCGAGCAAACAAUUUGUUCUGUGCUACCUGAGAGAUGCAAGUUGGAUGUGGAGGACAAUCAUGUACAGCCCUUAGGUUCUAUGGUUAAUCUGCUUAACCUGGGAGGUGCUCAUCAAGUUUGAGAUGGCAAGUGUAGGUGCUAUGUACUGUUUUCAAUGAACCAAUAAAAUGCAUUGGCUAUUUUCUACUCAGAUUUGUUGGUUAUUUCUAAUGAAACAUGAAAAUACUUCUGAAAGGAUUAUAGUUUCGACUUGAGAUUUUAGUUGUUUAUGUAGACAGUAAAACUCUAGCUGUUAUUUGCUAGAUGGGUCGGUACCAACCCAACAUUGAACAAAGAAGUUAAGGAAUUGAGGUGA